AUUAGAGUUUGAUCCUGGCUCAGGAUGAACGCUGGCGGCGUGCCUAACACAUGCAAGUCGAACGGGGAUAGCAAUAUUCCAGUGGCGGACGGGUGAGGAACACGUAGCUAACCUGCCUUGAAGCGUGGGAUAACGGCGCGAAAGCGGUGCUAAUACCACAUAAGCUCCCAGGUUGCAGAGACGUGGGAGGAAAGGCGCAAGUCACUUCAAGAGGGGGCUGCGACCCAUCAGGUAGAUGGCGAGGUAACGGCUCACCAUGCCGACGACGGGUAGGGGGUCUGAGAGGAUGAUCCCCCACACUGGGACUGAGAGACGGCCCAGACUCCUACGGGAGGCAGCAGUGAGGGAUAUUGGGCAAUGGGGGCAACCCUGACCCAGCGACGCCGCGUGGGUGAAGAAGGUCUUCGGAUCGUAAAGCCCUUUUCGGUGGGAAGAGGAAGGACGGUACCACCGGAAGAAGUCUCGGCUAACUACGUGCCAGCAGCCGCGGUAAAACGUAGGAGACAAGCGUUAUCCGGAGUUACUGGGCGUAAAGGGCGUGCAGGCGGAGGACUAAGUUCGGUGUGAAAGCGCCUGGCUCAACUGGGCGAGGCCACCGGCGACUGGUGCUCUAGAGGACGGCAGAGGGGUGUGGAAUUCCGGGUGUAGUGGUGAAAUGCGUAGAGAUCCGGAGGAACACCAGAGGCGAAGGCGACACUCUAGGCCGUACCUGACGCUGAGACGCGACAGCACGGGGAGCAAACGGGAUUAGAAACCCCGGUAGUCCGUGCCGUAAACGAUGCCAGCUAGACGUUCGUCCCGCUCGCGCGGGGGGGGUGUCGCAGCUAACGCGAUAAGCUGGCCGCCUGGGGAGUACGGUCGCAAGGCUAAAACUCAAAGGAAUUGACGGGGGCCCGCACAAGCAGCGGAGCGUGUGGUUUAAUUCGAGGCUACACGAAGAACCUUACCUGGGUUGGACAUGGCGGUGGUAGGGAGGCGAAAGCUGACCGACCUUCGGGAGCCGUCACCGGUGCUGCAUGGCUGUCGUCAGCUCGUGUCGUGAGAUGUUCGGUUAAGUCCGCAAACGAGCGCAACCCCUGCCGCUAGUUACCAGCGGGUCAUGCCGGGAACUCUAAGGAGACUGCCGGUGUUAAACCGGAGGAAGGUGGGGAUGACGUCAAGUCCUCAUGGCCUUUAUGACUAGGGCUGCACACGUCCUACAAUGGUGCACACAAAGCGAUGCAAACCCGCGAGGGCCAGCUAAUCGCAAAAAUUGCACCCCAGUUCGGAUUGCAGGCUGCAACCCGCCUGCAUGAAGCCGGAAUCGCUAGUAAUCGCGGGUCAGCAUACCGCGGCGAAUGUGUUCCUGAGCCUUGUACACACCGCCCGUCAAGCCACGAAAGUGGGGGGCGCCCAACAGCACUGUCGUAACCCGCAAGGGAGCAAGGUGCCUAAGGCGAACUCCGUGAUUGGGACUAAGUCGUAACAAGGUAACCAAU
rnacentral:rRNA from 1 species